UAGAUACGUUCCUAAAUUCUUCGGGAAA
rnacentral:sRNA from 1 species